rnacentral:rRNA from 1 species
CAUUGUCCUUGAGUAAGGCGGGACACGUGAAAUCCUGUCUGAACAUGGGGAGACCACUCUCCAAGCCUAAGUACUCGUGCAUGACCGAUAGCGAACAAGUACCGUGAGGGAAAGGUGAAAAGCACCCCGACAAGGGGAGUGAAAUAGAACCUGAAACCGGAUGCCUACAAGCAGUCGGAGGCCGCAAGGCUGACGGCGUACCUUUUGUAUAAUGGGUCAACGACUUAGUGUAACUAGCAAGCUUAAGCCGGUAGGUGUAGGCGCAGCGAAAGCGAGUCUGAACAGGGCGUUCAGUUAGUUGCAUUAGACCCGAAACCGAGUGAUCUAGCCAUGAGCAGGCUGAAGGUUGGGUAACACCAACUGGAGGGCCGAACCCGCAUCUGUUGCAAUAGAUUGGGAUGACUUGUGGCUAGGGGUGAAAGGCCAAUCAAACUCGGAGAUAGCUGGUUCUCCGCGAAAUCUAUUUAGGUAGAGCGUCGACCGAAUACCCCAGGGGGUAGAGCACUGGAUGGGCUAUGGGGACUCACCGUCUUACUGAUCCUAACCAAACUCCGAAUACCUGGGAGUACUAGUCGGCAGACACACGGCGGGUGCUAACGUCCGUCGUGAAGAGGGCAACAACCCUGACCUCCAGCUAAGGUCCCCAAGUCAUGGCUAAGUGGGAAAGGAUGUGAGGAUCCCAAAACAACCAGGAUGUUGGCUUAGAAGCAGCCAUCAUUUAAAGAAAGCGUAACAGCUCACUGGUCUAAAUAAGGGUCUUUGCGCCGAAAAUGUAACGGGGCUAAAGCCAUGCACCGAAGCUGAGGAUGUGCAGCAAUGCACGUGGUAGCGGAGCGUUCCGUAAGCCUGUGAAGGGAGACCCGUGAGGGCUCCUGGAGGUAUCGGAAGUGCGAAUGUUGACAUGAGUAACGAUAAAGAGGGUGAGAGACCCUCUCGCCGAAAGACCAAGGGUUCCUGCUUAAAGUUAAUCUGAGCAGGGUUAGCCGGCCCCUAAGAUGAGGCAGAAAUGCGUAGUCGAUGGGAACCACGUUAAUAUUCGUGGGCCUGGUGGUAGUGACGGAUUGCGUAACUUGUUCAUUCUUAUUGGAUUGAAUGGGCGAGGAAGCGGUUCCAGGAAAUAGCUCCACCGUACAGACCGUACCCGAAACCGACACAGGUGGUCAGGUAGAGUAUACCAAGGCGCUUGAGAGAACUAUGUUGAAGGAACUCGGCAAAUUGCACGCGUAACUUCGGAAGAAGCGUGACCCCUUUGCACGCAAGUGUAAUGGGGUGGCACAGACCAGGGGGUAGCGACUGUUUAUCAAAAACACAGGGCUCUGCGAAGUCGCAAGACGACGUAUAGGGUCUGACGCCUGCCCGGUGCUGGAAGGUUAAGAGGAGAGGUGCAAGCUUUGAAUCGAAGCCCCAGUAAACGGCGGCCGUAACUAUAACGGUCCUAAGGUAGCGAAAUUCCUUGUCGGGUAAGUUCCGACCUGCACGAAUGGCGUAACGACUUCCCCGCUGUCUCCAACAUAGACUCAGUGAAAUUGAAUUCCCCGUGAAGAUGCGGGGUUCCUGCGGUCAGACGGAAAGACCCCGUGCACCUUUACUAUAGCUUUACACUGGCAUUCGUGUCGGCAUGUGUAGGAUAGGUGGUAGGCUUUGAAGCUCGGACGCCAGUUUGAGUGGAGCCAUCCUUGAAAUACCACCCUUAUCGUCAUGGAUGUCUAACCGCGGUCCGUCAUCCGGAUCCGGGACAGUGUAUGGUGGGUAGUUUGACUGGGGCGGUCGCCUCCGAAAGAGUAACGGAGGCGCGCGAUGGUGGGCUCAGACCGGUCGGAAAUCGGUCGUCGAGUGCAAUGGCAUAAGCCCGCCUGACUGCGAGACUGACAAGUCGAGCAGAGACGAAAGUCGGUCAUAGUGAUCCGGUGGUCCCGUGUGGAAGGGCCAUCGCUCAACGGAUAAAAGGUACGCCGGGGAUAACAGGCUGAUGACCCCCAAGAGUCCAUAUCGACGGGGUUGUUUGGCACCUCGAUGUCGGCUCAUCGCAUCCUGGGGCUGGAGCAGGUCCCAAGGGUUUGGCUGUUCGCCAAUUAAAGCGGUACGUGAGCUGGGUUCAGAACGUCGUGAGACAGUUCGGUCCCUAUCUGCCGUGGGUGUAGGAAUAUUGACAGGAUCUGUCCCUAGUACGAGAGGACCGGGAUGGACAUAUCUCUGGUGGACCUGUUGUC